ACAACUGGCUGAAGACCUGAACGAGUUUUACUGUAGGUUUAAAAAGCAAAAGACUGGUCUGACACCCCACACCCACUCCGACUAAGCUUUUGCCUUUUAAAC